rnacentral:rRNA from 1 species
UGUCCGGAAUUACUGGGUGUAAAGGGAGCGUAGGCGGGAUCUUAAGUCAGGUGUGAAAACUAUGGGCUCAACCCAUAGACUGCACUUGAAACUGAGGUUCUUGAGUGAAGUAGAGGCAGGCGGAAUUCCUAGUGUAGCGGUGAAAUGCGUAGAUAUUAGGAGGAACAUCAGUGGCGAAGGCGGCCUGCUGGGCUUUUACUGACGCUGAGGCUCGAAAGCGUGGGGAGCAAACAGGAUUAGAUACCCUGGUAGUCCACGCUGUAAACGAUGAUUACUAGGUGUGGGGGGACUGGCCCCUUCCGUGCCGCAGUUAACACAAUAAGUAAUCCACCUGGGGAGUACGGCCGCAAGGUUGAAACUCAGCGGAAUUGACGGGGGCCCGCACCAGCCGUGGGACUAUGUGGU